CUCGGCUGCUUACCAUGCAGUCGAACGGGCGUAGCAAUACGUCAGUGGCAGACGGGUGAGUAACGCGUGGGAACGUACCUUUUGGUUCGGAACAACUGAGGGAAACUUCAGCUAAUACCGGAUAAGCCCUUACGGGGAAAGAUUUAUCGCCGAAAGAUCGGCCCGCGUCUGAUUAGCUAGUUGGUGAGGUAAUGGCUCACCAAGGCGACGAUCAGUAGCUGGUCUGAGAGGAUGAUCAGCCACAUUGGGACUGAGACACGGCCCAAACUCCUACGGGAGGCAGCAGUGGGGAAUAUUGGACAAUGGGGGCAACCCUGAUCCAGCCAUGCCGCGUGAGUGAUGAAGGCCCUAGGGUUGUAAAGCUCUUUUGUGCGGGAAGAUAAUGACGGUACCGCAAGAAUAAGCCCCGGCUAACUUCGUGCCAGCAGCCGCGGUAAUACGAAGGGGGCUAGCGUUGCUCGGAAUCACUGGGCGUAAAGGGUGCGUAGGCGGGUUUCUAAGUCAGAGGUGAAAGCCUGGAGCUCAACUCCAGAACUGCCUUUGAUACUGGAAGUCUUGAGUAUGGCAGAGGUGAGUGGAACUGCGAGUGUAGAGGUGAAAUUCGUAGAUAUUCGCGAGAACACCAGUGGCGAAGGCGGCUCACUGGGCCAUUACUGACGCUGAGGCACGAAAGCGUGGGGAGCAAACAGGAUUAGAUACCCUGGUAGUCCACGCCGUAACGAUGAAUGCCAGCCGUUAGUGGGUUUACUCACUAGUGGCGCAGCUAACGCUUUAAGCAUUCCGCCUGGGGAGUACGGUCGCAGAUUAAACUCAAGGAGUG
rnacentral:rRNA from 1 species